UUAAAAUUAGUUGAAUUAUAACAUAAGCUUGUCAAGCUUAAAUUAUCAGAUCCUAAUAUUUUAAA
rnacentral:tRNA from 1 species